rnacentral:tRNA from 3 species
GCCUGCUUAGCUCAGUUGGUUAGAGCAUCCGUCUCAUACACGGAGUGUCACUAGUUCGAAUCUAGUAGUAGGCA